GAACGUGGGUAACCUGCCUUAUAGUGGGGGAUAGCCUUUCGAAAGGAAGAUUAAUACCGCAUAAGAUUGUAGUAUCGCAUGAUAUAGCAAUUAAAGGAGCAAUUCGCUAUAAGAUGGACCCGCGUCGCAUUAGCUAGUUGGUGAGGUAAUGGCUCACCAAGGCGACGAUGCGUAGCCGACCUGAGAGGGUGAUCGGCCACAUUGGGACUGAGACACGGUCCAGACUCCUACGGGAGGCAGCAUG
rnacentral:rRNA from 1 species